rnacentral:rRNA from 1 species
UGAAAAGGACCCCGGGAGGGGAGUGAAAGAGAACCUGAAACCUUGUGCUUACAAACAGUCAAAGGACGCAAGUCUGAUGGCGUACUUUUUGUAGAACGGUCCGGCGAGUUACUAAUGCCAGCGAGGUUAAGUGGUCAGAAGCCACGGAGCCGAAGGGAAACCAAGUCUGAAUAGGGCGUAGAGUUGGUAUUAGUAGACCCGAAACCGGGUGACCUAUCCAUGUCCAGGUUGAAGGAACCGUAAAAGGUUUUGGAGGACCGAACACACAUGUGUUGAAAAACGUGGUGAUGAGGUGUGGAUAGCGGAGAAAUUCCAAUCGAACUCGGAGAUAGCUGGUUCUCCUCGAAAUAGCUUUAGGGCUAGCCUCGAGCUGGAGUCUAACGGAGGUAAAGCACUGAACUGACGCGGGGCCCAAAAAGGUUACCAACUCAUAUCAAACUAAGAAUGCCGUCAAGAUACCCUCGGGAGUCAGUCUGCGUGAGAUAAGUCGCGUGGACAAAAGGGAAAGAGCCCAGACCGACAGCUAAGGUCCCAAAGUACGUGUUAAGUGGAAAAGGAUGUGGGAUUUCAUAGACAACUAGGAUGUUGGCUUAGAAGCAGCCAUACAUUUAAAGAGUGCGUAAUAGCUCACUAGUCGAGAAAACCUGCGCCGAAAAUGUAACGGGGCUAAAACACGACACCGAAGCUACGGAUUUCCUACAAGGUAGGAAGUGGUAGAGGAGCAUCCUGCAAGGACGAAGCCAAAGUGAGAGCGAUGGUGGACGAAACAGGAGAGAGAAUGCCGGAAUGAGUAGCGAGAUACAUGUGAGAAACAUGUAGGCCGAAUAUCUAAGGAUUCCUGGGUAAAGCUAAUCUUCCCAGGGUUAGUCGGGGCCUAAGGCGAGGACGAAAGUCGUAGUCGAUGGAUAACAGGUUGAUAUUCCUGUACUACACAUAAUCAGAACUGUGGGGACGCAGGAGGAUAGGGAAACCGGGGAAUGGAAAGACCCGGUCAAGCGUAAAGCUGUGGGAGAUAGGCAAAUCCGUCCCCUGUAAGUGAAACGUGAUGAGGACUGAAAAAAAGUAAGGAAGUUUCCGAAUCCACACUGCCGAGAAAAGCCGCUAUUGCGUUAUGUGUACCCGUACCGUAAACCGACACAGGUAGAUGAGGAGAAAAUCCACAGGCCGACGGGAGAAGUGUUGUUAAGGAACUCGGCAAAAUGACCCCGUAACUUCGGGAUAAGGGGAGCCUACGAGAGUAGGCCGCAGAGAAUAGUCUCAAGCGACUGUUUAGCAAAAACACAGGUCUAUGCUAAAUCGAAAGAUGAUGUAUAUGGGCUGACGCCUGCCCGGUGCUGGAAGGUUAAGGGGAAGUGUUAGAGCAAUCGAAGCACUGAACUUAAGCCCCAGUAAACGGCGGCCGUAACUAUAACGGUCCUAAGGUAGCGAAAUUCCUUGUCAGGUAAGUUCUGACCCGCACGAAUGGCGUAACGACUUGAGAGCUGUCUCAACAACAUACCCGGCGAAAUUGAAGUACUGGUAAAGAUGCCAGUUACCCGUGAUAAGACGGAAAGACCCCAUGGAGCUUUACUGUAACUUGAUAUUGAAUUUUUGUAUUACAUGUACAGGAUAGGUGGGAGACAGAGAACUAAUGCCGCCAGGUGUUAGGGAGUCGAUGUUGGGAUACCACUCUUGUAAUAUGAAGGUUCUAACCUGCACCCGUGAAUCCGGGUGGGGGACACUGUCAGGUGGACAGUUUGACUGGGGCGGUCGCCUCCUAAAAGGUAACGGAGGCGUUCAAAGGUUGGUUCAGCACGGACGGAAAUCGUGCAACGAGUGCAAACGCAUAAACCAGCCUAACUGCGAGACCGACAAGUCGAGCAGUAACGAAAGUUGGAGUUAGUGAUCCGGCGGUAUGAGAGUGGAAUUGCCGUCGCUCAACGGAUAAAAGCUACCCUGGGGAUAACAGGCUGAUCUCCCCCA